AUGGAAACUUUGGUGAAUGAUUUUCUGAGGUCACUUUGGUAUCCACAUAAACAUAGCAAAUGAGUAAUGGGUUGGACUGAGCUGUGAAGGUUAAUUUAGAAACGAGAGUAGCUCUUCUAAUUUGCACAGGUACCUGAACUCGAGAGUUCAAAUGUGAAGUCUUUGUACCGGAGAGCUCAAUCAUACAUAAACGUGGCAGAUAUGGAUCUUACAAAGCUUGAUAUUAGAAACGCCCUCAAGGUCGACCCAAAUAACAAGAAGUCACACUUGUAGAGUUUGAUGGAGACGGAGAUUACCACGUGCCUGUUGAACUUGGAGGUAGUGGUGGAAUGAGGUUGAAGUUGAGAAAAACUAGUUGCUGGAAAUGUGCAAAAGGAUUGAAGAUGAUCAUUAAAGAAAAAAAACCGAGCUUGAAACUAUGCGAAAAGAGUUUGCCAGCCAGCGACACAACUUGGAAGCUAU
rnacentral:lncRNA from 1 species